rnacentral:rRNA from 1 species
UUUAAGGUCUAACCUGCCCAAUGAGGAUUUAAAUGGCCGCAGUAUUUUGACUGUGCAAAGGUAGCAUAAUUAUUAGUUUUUUAAUUGAAAGCUUGUAUGAAGGGUUGGACGAGAUGAAAUCUGUCUUUAUUUAAAUUAAAAUAUAAUUUAACUUUUGAGUAAAAAGGCUUAAAUGUUUAUAAAAGACGAGAAGACCCUAUAGAUCUUUAUUUAAUUAAAAUUUUAAUAAUUUAGGAUUAUUUUAAUUUAGAGUUUUAAUUAAAUUUUAUUGGGGUAAUAUAAAGAUUAAAUAAAUUCUUUUUAUUUAUAACAUUGAUUUAUGAAUAUAUGAUCCAUUAAUAUUGAUUAUAAGAUUAAGUUACCUUAGGGAUAACAGCGUAAUUUUUUUGGAGAGCUCAUAUCGAUAAAAAAGUUUGCGACCUCGAUGUUGGAUUAAAAAUUAGCUUGGGUGCAGAAGCUCAAGAUUUUGGUCUGUUCGACCAUUAAAUUUUUACAUGAUCUGAGUUCAGACCGGCGUGAGCCAGGUCGGUUUCUAUCUUUAUUAAGAUAAAAUGUUUUAGUACGAAAGGACCAAAUAUUUAAUAUAAUUAUAUUUAUUUUUUGAAGAAUAUU